rnacentral:tRNA from 2 species
GGCGAUUAGCUCAGUUGGGAGAGCGCCUGCCUUGCACGCAGGAGGUCUGCGGUUCGAUCCCGCAUAGCUCCACCA